CCUACGGGAGGCAGCAGUAGGGAAUUUUCGGCAAUGGGGGGAACCCUGACCGAGCAACGCCGCGUGAACGAAGAAGUUAUUCGUAAUGUAAAGUUCUUUUAACAGGGAAGAAAGAGAAAUUUGACGGUACCCGAAGAAUAAGCUCCGGCAAACUACGUGCCAGCAGCCGCGGUAAUCCGUAGGGAGCGGGCGUUAUCCGGAAUUAUUGGGCGUAAAGGUUGCGAGGAUGGUAUGGUAAGUCUUUGGUAAAAAUGCUGGGCUAAACCCAGUAGGGCAAAAGAUACUGCAAAGCUAGAGUAUGACAGAGGCAAGUGGAACUACAGGUGUAGCAGUGAAAUGCGUAGAUAUAUGGAAGAACACCAGUGGCGAAGGCGGCUUGCUGGGU
rnacentral:rRNA from 1 species